rnacentral:rRNA from 1 species
UACCGUUUAGUUUGCUAACGCGUGAAGGCGAGCACUCUAGACGAACUGCCGUUGACAAACGGAAGGAAGGUGGGGAGUGACGUCAAAUCAUCAUGCCCCUUAUGUUCUGGGCUACACACGUGCUACAAUGGCCGGUACAGACGGACGCAAAGCCGCGAGGUGGAGCAAAUACCUAAAAAGACCGGUCUCAGUUCGGAUUGCAGGCUGCAAUUCGCCUGCAUGAAGUCGGAAUCGCUAGUAAUCGCAGGUCAGCAUACUGCGGUGAAUACGUUCCCGGGCCUU